rnacentral:misc_RNA from 1 species
AGCAGCCGCGGUAAUUCCAGCUCCAAUAGCGUAUAUUAAAGUUGCUGCAGUUAAAAGCUCGUAGUUGAAUUUCGGGACCAUCAUGUCGGUCGUGCCUCGGUACGUACUGGCAUUGUUGGUUUCUACCUUCUGACGAACCAUGAUGUCAUUUAUUUGGUGUCGUGGGAAAUCAGGACUGUUACUUUGAAAAAAUUAGAGUGUUUAAAGCAGGCUCACGCUUGAAUACAUUAGCAUGGAAUAAUGAAAUAGGACGUUUGAUUCUAUUUUGUUGGUUUCUAGGAUCGACGUAAUGAUUAAUAGGGAUAGUUGGGGGCAUUAGUAUUCAAUUGUCAGAGGUGAAAUUCUUGGAUUUAUUGAAGACUAACUACUGCGAAAGCAUUUGCCAAGGAUGUUUUCAUUAAUCAAGAACGGAAGUUAGGGGAUCGAAGACGAUCAGAUACCGUCGUAGUCUUAACCAUAAACUAUGCCGACUAGGGAUCGGAUGAUGUUAAUUUUUAAUGUACUCAUUC